GCUUGCUUCCAGGCGUCGAGCGGCGGACGGGUGAGUAAUGCAUAGGAAUCUGCCCGAUAGUGGGGGAUAACGUGGGGAAACUCACGCUAAUACCGCAUACGUCCUACGGGAGAAAGCAGGGGAUCUUCGGACCUUGCGCUAUCGGAUGAGCCUAUGUCGGAUUAGCUAGUUGGUGAGGUAACGGCUCACCAAGGCGACGAUCCGUAGCUGGUCUGAGAGGAUGAUCAGCCACACUGGGACUGAGACACGGCCCAGACUCCUACGGGAGGCAGCAGUGGGGAAUAUUGGACAAUGGGGGAAACCCUGAUCCAGCCAUGCCGCGUGUGUGAAGAAGGCCUUCGGGUUGUAAAGCACUUUCAGCGAGGAAGAAGGCCUGAGGGCUAAUACCCUUCAGGAAGGACAUCACUCGCAGAAGAAGCACCGGCUAACUCCGUGCCAGCAGCCGCGGUAAUACGGAGGGUGCGAGCGUUAAUCGGAAUUACUGGGCGUAAAGCGCGCGUAGGUGGCUUGAUAAGCCGGUUGUGAAAGCCCCGGGCUCAACCUGGGAACGGCAUCCGGAACUGUCAGGCUAGAGUGCAGGAGAGGAAGGUAGAAUUCCCGGUGUAGCGGUGAAAUGCGUAGAGAUCGGGAGGAAUACCAGUGGCGAAGGCGGCCUUCUGGACUGACACUGACACUGAGGUGCGAAAGCGUGGGUAGCAAACAGGAUUAGAUACCCUGGUAGUCCACGCCGUAAACGAUGUCGACUAGCCGUUGGGUUCCUUGAGAACUUUGUGGCGCAGUUAACGCGAUAAGUCGACCGCCUGGGGAGUACGGCCGCAAGGUU
rnacentral:rRNA from 1 species